GAUGAACGCUGGCGGCGUGCUUAACACAUGCAAGUCGAACGAAGCAUUUAGGACAGAUUACUUCGGUUUGAAGUUCUUUAUGACUGAGUGGCGGACGGGUGAGUAACGCGUGGGUAACCUGCCUUGUACUGGGGGAUAGCAGCUGGAAACGGCUGGUAAUACCGCAUAAGCGCACAAUGUUGCAUGACAUGGUGUGAAAAACUCCGGUGGUAUAAGAUGGACCCGCGUCUGAUUAGCUAGUUGGUGAGAUAACAGCCCACCAAGGCGACGAUCAGUAGCCGAACUGAGAGGGUGACCGGCCACAUUGGGACUGAGACACGGCCCAGACUCCUACGGGAGGAAGCAGUGGGGAAUAUUGCACAAUGGAGGAAACUCUGAUGCAGCGACGCCGCGUGAGUGAAGAAGUAAUUCGUUAUGUAAAGCUCUAUCAGCAGGGAAGAUAGUGACGGUACCUGACUAAGAAGCUCCGGCUAAAUACGUG
rnacentral:rRNA from 1 species